GAUGAACGCUGGCGGCGUGCCUAACACAUGCAAGUCGAACGGAGAUUACGGACGGAAGUUUUCGGAUGGAAGACUGUAAUUCUUAGUGGCGGACGGGUGAGUAACGCGUGGGCAACCUGCCCUAUACAGGGGGAUAGCAGCUGGAAACGGCUGGUAAGACCGCAUAAGUCGGCGAGACCGCAUGGUUUUGCCGGGAAAUGAGCAAUCAGGUAUAGGAUGGGCCCGCGUCCGAUUAGCCAGUUGGCAGGGUAAAAGCCUACCAAAGCAACGAUCGGUAGCCGGACUGAGAGGUCGGACGGCCACAUUGGGACCGAGACACGGCCCAAACUCCUACGGGAGGCAGCAGUGGGGGAUAUUGCACAAUGGAGGAAACUCUGAUGCAGCGACGCCGCGUGAGUGAAGAAGUAUUUCGGUAUGUAAAGCUCUAUCAGCAGGGAAGAUGAUGACGGUACCUGACUAAGAAGCCCCGGCUAACUACGUG
rnacentral:rRNA from 1 species